GCACAGAUGGCGGAAUUGGUAUACGCACCAGCCUUAGGAGCUGGCGGAGCAAUCCGUGUGGGUUCGAGUCCCACUCUGUGCACCA
rnacentral:tRNA from 1 species